GACGAACGCUGCGGCGUGCUUAACACAUGCAAGUCGAACGAAGAGCGAUGGAAGCUUGCUUCUAUCAAUCUUAGUGGCGAACGGGUGAGUAACGCGUAAUCAACCUGCCCUUCAGAGGGGGACAACAGUUGGAAACGACUGCUAAUACCGCAUACGAUCUAACCUCGGCAUCGAGGAUAGAUGAAAGGUGGCCUCUACAUGUAAGCUAUCACUGAAGGAGGGGAUUGCGUCUGAUUAGCUAGUUGGAGGGGUAACGGCCCACCAAGGCGAUGAUCAGUAGCCGGUCUGAGAGGAUGAACGGCCACAUUGGGACUGAGACACGGCCCAGACUCCUACGGGAGGCAGCAGUGGGGAAUCUUCCGCAAUGGACGAAAGUCUGACGGAGCAACGCCGCGUGAGUGAUGACGGCCUUCGGGUUGUAAAGCUCUGUUAAUCGGGACGAAAGGCCUUCUUGCGAAUAGUUAGAAGGAUUGACGGUACCGGAAUAGAAAGCCACGGCUAA
rnacentral:rRNA from 1 species